ACGUAGGGUGCGAGCGUUAAUCGGAAUUACUGGGCGUAAAGCGUGCGCAGGCGGUUUUUUAAGCCAGAUGUGAAAUCCCCGGGCUUAACCUGGGAACUGCAUUUGGAACUGGAAGACUAGAGUGUAGCAGAGGGGGGUAGAAUUCCACGUGUAGCAGUGAAAUGCGUAGAUAUGUGGAGGAAUACCAAUGGCGAAGGCAGCCCCCUGGGUUAACACUGACGCUCAUGCACGAAAGCGUGGGGAGCAAACAGGAUUAGAUACCCUGGUAGUCCACGCCCUAAACGAUGUCAACUAGGUGUUGGGGGAGGAGACUUCCUUAGUACCGCAGCUAACGCGUGAAGUUGACCGCCUGGGGAGUACGGUCGCAAGAUUA
rnacentral:rRNA from 1 species